ACUUAGUACCAACAUACCAACACCAGAAAAAUUAAUCUGAUUAUCCUCACUCAAUUGUAUGUUUAUUUAUUACAUACAUUGGCAUACAAUGACCAUGAAUCUGCACAGCUGCUUAAUAAGUAAAAUGAUUACUAUUACUACAAACCCCACAAGGCAAAGAAGACGUAAGAUGGGUAGGAACUGCUCGAUGCUAACAGAAAUGGCGAUGGAUGCCAAAGCCACAUAAGGGUGAACAGGGAAAUGGCUGUGGUUCACCUUCCUGUAUACAAACGAGUGGCGACCUGUGACACAGAGGAUCUCGGCUCAUUGUCUGCAGCACGCAGUGGAAAAAGAGCAGAGUGUGGGUCCGGCAUGGCCCACACCGCGUCUGCCCCCUCGGACACUUCCUGUCCGGGUUCACCCAGAGUUUGCGGCUGGGGGAGGAGGCCGGACGCUGGAGAAGUUUCUGGAGAAUUGCGGCCAAUGAAAGGGCAUGUGGGGCCACGCCUCUGCGUCAGCGCUGUCCUGAGAGGCUAACGCGCAGCUUUACCCACAGGAGCACUGGACCUGACAUGACCUGGCCUUACCUGACGGCUAAGCGUGCCAAUGAGCAUCGCCUCCACAUGCUAGGGACUGAAAGGGAACCUAAAAGCCAUUAAACUGGCUGAGUGCUGUAUUUGAAUUUCCCCUGUGGUGUGUGGUGCUCUAAAACAUUUCAAGUGAUCAUACUAAAUAUUAUCAUCAUCCCUGCAUGUAUACAUGGUUGGCAGAAAUAAUUCUGACUCAUAUAUUCAAGGCAGAGUUGCCACAUGUAUUCAAAUGAUAGAACCUCUAUAAAAAAUAAACAACAAAUGUCCAUUGCAAACAAAAGUUCUAAAACACUGCUUUAAAAUAAUUUCAAUGUUGCCAACUGCACAACACGGAUCCUGCUUUAUGCCACAGAGCCUGCUGGUUGAUCUUUGUGCUUUGAGUCAAAAUAGAUCUUGUUUUCCUUUCCCCUCACAGAAAUUAGUUAUUUUUUAUUAAAAUAAGCAUUGAGAGAAUGGAAGGGAGACAUUUCACUAAGUCUGUACCUGUGCUUCCCCAUCUCUCACUAAGACAUAACUUUAUCAAAAGAUGUUUUGGUCACCACUGAGCACUGCUCAAAGUCGAGAGCAAGUCGAUCAUUGUCAGCCCAGGACAGUUCCAAAUGAGAACUGGGAGUGGGCUGUUGACAGCAAGGUCAGUAACCGCCUUCUGUUGGGUUGCUGGGAUAUAGUAACUAUGGUAACACAUGCGGUGCUCUAUGAAGAGACAUCCUGACAGUUACACUGCAGCUCUGUCAGAAUUCACCUUUGUGUUUGUCAUUCCUGCUGUGACUACUAAGGCUAGGCAAUGUUACAGCAAAAUACAGUGAAAUUUGAAUUGAACUGGACCACGCAGCCUUAUGGGAUAUGGCAGCUGUGGUUGAAACCGAGUGAAGAGGUACCGAUAGCAAAUUCGGAGUCAACUACUAGACAGAUACGGUGCUUCUUAGGUACCAAACCAGAGAGGGGCUCAAAAUCAAAGAAGAGGGUUCAACCAGAGAGUUUGCACUUUUCUCAGAAAACGAGUUGAUUUUCAGUGGAUAUCAGCGUAGACAUAAUUUUCUUGACUGGACUGUAUACUGUGUUUACAUUUAAGGUUUUAUAGUUUUAUGGAUUUUUUUUUUUUUUACAGUUUUGCAUACUAAAAAUGUGAAAUAGAAACUGAUUGUUUGUAUGCGGUUGUCAUUGCGUAAGCUUCUGAUUGAUAAAUUCUUCAUGGUGUUCUAAGUCCAUUGCAA